GUUUCCAUAGUGUAGUGGUUAUCACGUUAAGCCUAACACGCAAAAAGGUCCCCAGUUCAAAACUGGGUGGAAACA
rnacentral:tRNA from 1 species